rnacentral:snRNA from 1 species
AUGCUCGCUUCAGCAGCACAUAUACUAAAAUUGGAAUGAUACAGCAAUUAGCAUGGCCCUUGCACAAUGAUGAUGCACAAAUUUGUGAAUUAUUCCAUAUAAAA